GGCUGUAUAGCUCAGUUGGCUAGAGCAUUCGGUUCAUACCCGAAGUGUCAUUGGUUCAAAUCCAAUUACAGCCACCA
rnacentral:tRNA from 1 species